rnacentral:rRNA from 1 species
CAGCCGCCGCGGUAAAACGUAGGGUGCAAGCGUUAAUCGGAAUUACUGGGCGUAAAGCGUGCGCAGGCGGUUAUAUAAGACAGAUGUGAAAUCCCCGGGCUCAACCUGGGAACUGCAUUUGUGACUGUAUAGCUAGAGUACGGCAGAGGGGGAUGGAAUUCCGCGUGUAGCAGUGAAAUGCGUAGAUAUGCGGAGGAACACCGAUGGCGAAGGCAAUCCCCUGGGCCUGUACUGACGCUCAUGCACGAAAGCGUGGGGAGCAAACAGGAUUAGAUACCCGGGUAGUCCCUGUCUCUUAUAC